GGAAAUCGAGAUCAUCCUGGCCAACAUGUCUCCCUUGCAAGCAGAUGUAGUCAUGUGGCUGAGUCUGACCCAUGUGACUGAAUGCUGCUGGAAGUGAAGUACUCCUAGGGCUGAUCUGUGUGGCCCCUUCUACAGAGAACUCUGAGGCCCCAGGGAAGAGCAGAGCCACGGAUGGAGGGUGCCUGGGCCGCUGAAUGACUGUGUGGAACAGAGCUCAGCCCUCCCCACUCCAGUGGACUUUACCCCUUUUCCCAAGUGGGAAAUAAACCUCUAUUG
rnacentral:lncRNA from 1 species